rnacentral:rRNA from 1 species
GGGAAUCUACCCAUCUCUGCGGAAUAGCUCCGGGAAACUGGAAUUAAUACCGCAUACGCCCUACGGGGGAAAGAUUUAUCGGGGAUGGAUGAGCCCGCGUUGGAUUAGCUAGUUGGUGGGGUAAAGGCCUACCAAGGCGACGAUCCAUAGCUGGUCUGAGAGGAUGAUCAGCCACAUUGGGACUGAGACACGGCCCAAACUCCUACGGGAGGCAGCAGUGGGGAAUAUUGGACAAUGGGCGCAAGCCUGAUCCAGCCAUGCCGCGUGAGUGAUGAAGGCCUUAGGGUUGUAAAGCUCUUUCACCGAUGAAGAUAAUGACGGUAGUCGGAGAAGAAGCCCCGGCUAACUUCGUGCCAGCAGCCGCGGUAAUACGAAGGGGACUAGCGUUGUUCGGAAUUACUGGGCGUAAAGCGCACGUAGGCGGAUAUUUAAGUCAGGGGUGAAAUCCCAGAGCUCAACUCUGGAACUGCCUUUGAUACUGGGUAUCUUGAGUAUGGAAGAGGUAAGUGGAAUUGCGAGU